rnacentral:rRNA from 1 species
AUUGAACGCUGGCGGCAGGCCUAACACAUGCAAGUCGAACGGCAGCACAGAAGAGCUUGUUCUUUGGGUGGCGAGUGGCGGACGGGUGAGUAAUGUCUGGGAAACUGCCCGACGGAGGGGGAUAACUACUGGAAACGGUAGCUAAUACCGCAUAACGUCGCGAGACCAAAGUGGGGGACCUUCGGGCCUCACACCAUCGGAUGUGCCCAGAUGGGAUUAGCUAAUAGGUGGGGUAAUGGCUCACCUAGGCGACGAUCCCUAGCUGGUCUGAGAGGAUGACCAGCCACACUGGAACUGAGACACGGUCCAGACUCCUACGGGAGGCAGCAGUGGGGAAUAUUGCACAAUGGGCGCAAGCCUGAUGCAGCCAUACCGCGUGUAUGAAGAAGGCCUUCGGGUUGUAAAGUACUUUCAGCGGGGAGGAAGGCGGUGAGGUUAAUAACCUUGCCGAUUGACGUUACCCGCAGAAGAAGCACCGGCUAACUCCGUGCCAGCCGCCGCCGUAA